UACGUAGGGUGCAAGCGUUAAUCGGAAUUACUGGGCGUAAAGCGUGCGCAGGCGGUUCGUUAAGUUCGAUGUGAAAGCCCCGGGCUCAACCUGGGAACUGCAUUGGAAACUGGCGAGCUUGAAUGCGGCAGAGGGGGGUGGAAUUCCGCGUGUAGCAGUGAAAUGCGUAGAGAUGCGGAGGAACACCGAUGGCGAAGGCAGCCCCCUGGGCCGACAUUGACGCUCAGGCACGAAAGCGUGGGGAGCAAACAGG
rnacentral:rRNA from 1 species